CACGUAGGGGGCGAGCGUUGUCCGGAUUUAUUGGGCGUAAAGAGCUCGUAGGCGGUUUCGUAAGUCGGAUGUGAAAACUCCAGCUCAACUUGGAGACGCCAUUCGAUACUGCGAUGACUUGAGUCCGGUAGGGGAGUGUGGAAUUCCUGGUGUAGCGGUGAAAUGCGCAGAUAUCAGGAGGAACACCGGUGGCGAAGGCGGGUCUCUGGGCAGUAACUGACGCUGGAGGAGCGAAAGCGUGGGGAGCGAACAGG
rnacentral:rRNA from 1 species